rnacentral:rRNA from 1 species
UUAUGUGUUUAAUUCGACGCAACGCGAAGAACCUUACCAGGCCUUGACAUACUCGGCAAAGCUCUAGAGAUAGAGUGGAGGUUAUCCGGGAUACAGGUGGUGCAUGGUUGUCGUCAGCUCGUGUCGUGAGAUGUUGGGUUAAGUCCCGCAACGAGCGCAACCCUUGUCUUUAGUUACCAUCAUUCAGUUGGGGACUCUAGAGAGACUGCCGGUGAUAAACCGGAGGAAGGUGGGGAUGACGUCAAAUCAUCAUGCCCCUUAUGGCCUGGGCUACAAACGUAAUACAAUGGCGUAUACAAAGGGAUGCGAAAGGGCGACCUGGAGCAAAACUCACAAAGUACGUCUCAGUUCAGAUUGGAGUCUGCAACCCGACUCCAUGAAGGUGGAAUCGCUAGUAAUCGCGCAUCAGCAUGGCGCGGUGAAUACGUUCCCGGGCCUU